rnacentral:rRNA from 1 species
AGUGAACGCUGGCGGUAGGCCUAACACAUGCAAGUCAAACGGCAGCACAGUAAGAGCUUGCUCUUACGAGUGGCGAGUGGCGGACGGGUGAGGAAUACAUCGGAAUCUACUUUUUCGUGGGGGAUCACGUAGGGAAACUUACGCUAAUACCGCAUACGACCUACGGGUGAAAGCAGGGGAUCUUCGGACCUUGCGCGGUUGAAUGAGCCGAUGUCGGAUUAGCUAGUUGGCGGGGUAAAGGCCCACCAAGGCGACGAUCCGUAGCUGGUCUGAGAGGAUGAUCAGCCACACUGGAACUGAGACACGGUCCAGACUCCUACGGGAGGCAGCAGUGGGGAAUAUUGGACAAUGGGCGCAAGCCUGAUCCAGCCAUACCGCGUGGGUGAAGAAGGCCUUCGGGUUGUAAAGCCCUUUUGUUGGGAAAGAAAAGCAGCAGGUUAAUACCCCGCUGUUCUGACGGUACCCAAAGAAUAAGCACCGGCUAACUUCGUG